CAGGGGAAUAGUGUCGUCAGUCUUUAUCGUAACGUAGGGCUCCUGUGUGCUGAUCAAUGGCUGGGAUUGAUUUUGUAUGGGAUCGGAUGGCUGAGAACGUGCUAACCCAUAUCAAGGGGUGGUGGCCCACAACAACUAUGUGAUCCAAUGGCUCCAAGCAAUCCUAACCGAGAUUGGAUGGUCCUGGUUGUUGCCGGUGGGAGAACUAAGGCUGAUUUGCACUGAUCGACGGACAAAUUUCAAUCCAUCAAGG
rnacentral:lncRNA from 1 species